GAUGAAGAACGCAGCGAAAUGCGAUAAGUAAUGUGAAUUGCAGAAUUCAGUGAAUCAUCGAGUCUUUGAACGCACAUUGCGCCCCCUGGUAUUCCGGGGGGCAUGCCUGUCCGAGCGUCAUUGCCGCCCUCAAGCACGGCUUGUGUGUUGGGCCCCCGCCCCCCGGCUUCGGGGGGCGGGCCCGAAAGGCAGCGGCGGCACCGCGUCCGGUCCUCGGGCGUAUGGGGCUUCGUCACCCGCUCUGUAGGCCCGGCCGGCGCCCGCCGGCGACCCCAAUCAAUCUUUCCAGGUUGACCUCGGAUCAGGUAGGGAUACCCGCUGAACUUAAGCAUAUCAAUAAGCGGAGGA
rnacentral:misc_RNA from 1 species